GCUGGGCACGUGCCUGUAGUCCCAGCUACUAGGGAGGCUGAGGCUAGAGGAUCACUUGAGUCCAGGAGUUCUGGGCUGUAGUGCGCUUUGCCAAUCGGGUGUUUGAACUAAGUUCGGCAUCAAUAUGGUGACCUCCCAGGAGCAGGGGACCACCCAGGUUGCCUAAGAAGGGGUGAACUGGCCCAGGUAGGAAACAGAGGAGAUCUAAACACAUGUGCUGAUCAGUAGUGGGAUUGCGCCUGUGAAUAGCCACUGCACUCCAGCCUGAGCAACAUAGCGAGACCCCAUCCCU
rnacentral:SRP_RNA from 1 species